GGCACGGUGGUGCAGUUGGUAGCACUAUCGCCUCACAGCAAGAAGGUCUUGGGUUGGAAUCCGGCCUGGGCCU
rnacentral:tRNA from 1 species